rnacentral:rRNA from 1 species
CCCUUAGAUGUUCGGGGCCGCACGCGCGCUACACUGAAUGAAUCAGCGAGUGUAUGUCCUAGGCCGAAAGGUCCGGGUAACCCGUUGAACCUCAUUCGUGAUUGGGAUAGGGACUUGCAAUUGUUUCCCUUGAACGAGGAAUUCCUAGUAAGCACAAGUCAUCAGCUUGUGUUGAUUACGUCCCUGCCCUUUGUACACACCGCCCGUCGCUCCUACCGAUUGAAUGUUCCGGUGAGCUCUUCGGACUGCGCGGUCUGCAGUUUCUGCGUUCCGUGCGGAAAGUUGCGCAAACCUUAACAUUUAGAGGAAGGAGAAGUCGUAACA